rnacentral:rRNA from 1 species
GGGUUGUGAGGUUAAGCGACUAAGCGUACACGGUGGAUGCCCUGGCAGUCAGAGGCGAUGAAGGACGUGCUAAUCUGCGAAAAGCGUCGGUAAGGUGAUAUGAACCGUUAUAACCGGCGAUGUCCGAAUGGGGAAACCCAGUGCAAUUCGUUGCACUAUCGUUAACUGAAUACAUAGGUUAACGAGGCGAACCGGGGGAACUGAAACAUCUAAGUACCCCGAGGAAAAGAAAUCAACCGAGAUUCCCCCAGUAGCGGCGAGCGAACGGGGAGCAGCCCAGAGUCUGAAUCAGCUUGUGUGUUAGUGGAACGGUCUGGAAAGUCCGACGGUACAGGGUGAUAGUCCCGUACACCAAAAUGCACAGGUUGUGAACUCGAAGAGUAGGGCGGGACACGUGGUAUCCUGUCUGAAUAUGGGGGGACCAUCCUCCAAGGCUAAAUACUCCUGACUGACCGAUAGUGAACCAGUACCGUGAGGGAAAGGCGAAAAGAACCCCGGCGAGGGGAGUGAAAAAGAACCUGAAACCGUGUACGUACAAGCAGUGGGAGCACCUUCGGGUGUGACUGCGUACCUUUUGUAUAAUGGGUCAGCGACUUAUAUUCUGUAGCAAGGUUAACCGUAUAGGGGAGCCGCAGGGAAACCGAGUCUUAACUGGGCGUUAAGUUGCAGGGUAUAGACCCGAAACCCGGUGAUCUAGCCAUGGGCAGGUUGAAGGUUGGGUAACACUAACUGGAGGACCGAACCGACUAAUGUUGAAAAAUUAGCGGAUGACUUGUGGCUGGGGGUGAAAGGCCAAUCAAACCGGGAGAUAGCUGGUUCUCCCCGAAAGCUAUUUAGGUAGCGCCUCGUGAAUUCAUCUUCGGGGGUAGAGCACUGUUUCGGCUAGGGGGUCAUCCCGACUUACCAACCCGAUGCAAACUACGAAUACCGAAGAAUGUUAUCACGGGAGACACACGGCGGGUGCUAACGUCCGUCGUGAAGAGGGAAACAACCCAGACCGCCAGCUAAGGUCCCAAAGUCAUGGUUAAGUGGGAAACGAUGUGGGAAGGCACAGACAGCCAGGAUGUUGGCUUAGAAGCAGCCAUCAUUUAAAGAAAGCGUAAUAGCUCACUGGUCGAGUCGGCCUGCGCGGAAGAUGUAACGGGGCUAAACCAUGCACCGAAGCUGCGGCAGCGACGCUUAUGCGUUGUUGGGUAGGGGAGCGUUCUGUAAGCCUGCGAAGGUGUGCUGUGAGGCAUGCUGGAGGUAUCAGAAGUGCGAAUGCUGACAUAAGUAACGAUAAAGCGGGUGAAAAGCCCGCUCGCCGGAAGACCAAGGGUUCCUGUCCAACGUUAAUCGGGGCAGGGUGAGUCGACCCCUAAGGCGAGGCCGAAAGGCGUAGUCGAUGGGAAACAGGUUAAUAUUCCUGUACUUGGUGUUACUGCGAAGGGGGGACGGAGAAGGCUAUGUUAGCCGGGCGACGGUUGUCCCGGUUUAAGCAUGUAGGCUGGUUGUCCAGGCAAAUCCGGAUAAUCAAGGCUGAGGUGUGAUGACGAGGCACUACGGUGCUGAAGUAACAAAUGCCCUGCUUCCAGGAAAAGCCUCUAAGCAUCAGGUAACAUUAAAUCGUACCCCAAACCGACACAGGUGGUCAGGUAGAGAAUACCAAGGCGCUUGAGAGAACUCGGGUGAAGGAACUAGGCAAAAUGGUGCCGUAACUUCGGGAGAAGGCACGCUGGUGUGUAGGUGAAGUCCCUGCGGAUGGAGCUGAGACCAGUCGAAGAUACCAGCUGGCUGCAACUGUUUAUUAAAAACACAGCACUGUGCAAACACGAAAGUGGACGUAUACGGUGUGACGCCUGCCCGGUGCCGGAAGGUUAAUUGAUGGGGUUAUCCGUAAGGAGAAGCUCUUGAUCGAAGCCCCGGUAAACGGCGGCCGUAACUAUAACGGUCCUAAGGUAGCGAAAUUCCUUGUCGGGUAAGUUCCGACCUGCACGAAUGGCGUAAUGAUGGCCAGGCUGUCUCCACCCGAGACUCAGUGAAAUUGAACUCGCUGUGAAGAUGCAGUGUACCCGCGGCAAGACGGAAAGACCCCGUGAACCUUUACUAUAGCUUGACACUGAACAUUGAGCCUUGAUGUGUAGGAUAGGUGGGAGGCUUUGAAGCGUGGACGCCAGUCUGCGUGGAGCCAACCUUGAAAUACCACCCUUUAAUGUUUGAUGUUCUAACGUUGGCCCCUUACCGGGGUUGCGGACAGUGUCUGGUGGGUAGUUUGACUGGGGCGGUCUCCUCCCAAAGCGUAACGGAGGAGCACGAAGGUUAGCUAAUCCUGGUCGGACAUCAGGAGGUUAGUGCAAUGGCAUAAGCUAGCUUGACUGCGAGCGUGACGGCGCGAGCAGGUGCGAAAGCAGGUCAUAGUGAUCCGGUGGUUCUGAAUGGAAGGGCCAUCGCUCAACGGAUAAAAGGUACUCCGGGGAUAACAGGCUGAUACCGCCCAAGAGUUCAUAUCGACGGCGGUGUUUGGCACCUCGAUGUCGGCUCAUCACAUCCUGGGGCUGAAGUAGGUCCCAAGGGUAUGGCUGUUCGCCAUUUAAAGUGGUACGCGAGCUGGGUUUAGAACGUCGUGAGACAGUUCGGUCCCUAUCUGCCGUGGGCGCUGGAGAAUUGAGGGGGGCUGCUCCUAGUACGAGAGGACCGGAGUGGACGCAUCACUGGUGUUCGGGUUGUCAUGCCAAUGGCACUGCCCGGUAGCUAAAUGCGGAAGAGAUAAGUGCUGAAAGCAUCUAAGCACGAAACUUGCCCCGAGAUGAGUUCUCCCUGAGACUUUAAGUCUCCUGAAGGAACGUUAAAGACGAUGACGUUGAUAGGCCGGGUGUGUAAGCGCAGCGAUGCGUUGAGCUAACCGGUACUAAUGAACCGUGAGGCUUAACCUUACAACGCCGAAG